CUACCGGGGUAUCUAAUCCUGUUUGCUCCCCACGCUUUCGCGCCUCAGCGUCAGUAACGGGCCAGUGUGUCGCCUUCGCCACUGGUGUUCUUCCGAAUAUCUACGAAUUUCACCUCUACACUCGGAGUUCCACACACCUCUCCCGCACUCUAGGUGCCCAGUAUCAAAGGCAGUUCCGAGGUUGAGCCCCGGGAUUUGACCUCUGACUUAAACACCCGCCUACGCGCCCUUUACGCCCAGUAAUUCCGAGCAACGCUAGCCCCCUUCGUAUUACCGCGGCGGCUGGCAC
rnacentral:rRNA from 1 species